rnacentral:lncRNA from 1 species
GUCAACGUUGGGGACGUUUUGGGGUGGAGGGGGGCUUGGGGACGUGGUUAUGGUUGUGGUGGUCCAGGAGGAUCUCAAGAAGGGUCUGAGAUGUCAACGUUGGGGACAUUUUGGGGUGGAGAACAUCUUAGGGUUGGAGAACGUAUGGGGGCAAGGUCAUGGUGGUCCAUGAGACCACCAAGAAGAACCAAGAGGGCCCUGGUAGGUCAAUGUUGGGGACAUUUUGGGGUGGAGGGGGCUUGGGGACGUGGUUAUGGUCAUGGUGGUCAAGGAGGACCUGGAGUAGGUUCUGGGACGUCAACGUUGGGGACAUUUUGGGGUGGAGGAGGUCUUGUCGCUGUCACCCCCAUGGGGACAUCAGGGGGAUGGAGAACAUUUGGGGACCACCAUGGCUCUACGGGGUGACAGCCCCAUGUCCCCAAGGGGGUGGCACCACGGCCAUCGGACGCGAGUCCGGGUGGUGCCACCAUCGUCCCACCCAUCCCAGUGGUGUCACCAUUGUCCCCUAUCCUUCUAGAUGGUGCCACCACCAUCCCCCAUGAGUCCAGAUGGUGCCACCAUUGUCCUAGGGACAUGUAGAUGGUGCCACCACCCAUCCAUGUCCACGUGGAUGGUGCCACCAUGGUCCCAUGUGUGUCUGGAUGGUGUCACCAUUGUCCCAUGUCCAUCUGGAUGGUGCCACCAUGGUCCCACAUGUGUCUAGGAGGUGCCACCAUUGUCCCAUGA